rnacentral:misc_RNA from 1 species
UUGCCACUUAUAGAAUCUUAUCUAGAAAUGAUUUUGAAAUUCUAUGACUCACAAAUCUGUUAAUUCUCAAAGAAAUUGACUUAUUUUGGCAUGGAACAUACAUAUAUAUAUAUAGUUUAGACCUGAAUGCAAUCCCAUAAACGAAGAGCUGAACUAAGUUCUGCAGUUCUUUUUGUUCAGUUGAAGGUUCCAAAGAAGAUAGGAGGCUAAGGUUU